rnacentral:rRNA from 1 species
CAAUAGUGUAUAUUUAAGUUGUUGCAGUUAAAAAGCUCGUAGUCGGAUUUUGGCUGAGAACGAUCGGUCCGCCGUUAGGUGUGCACUGAUUGGUCUCAGCUUCCUGGUGAGGAGGUGUGCUUCACGGCCACUUAGUCACCGUGGUUACCUUGAAAAAAUUAGAGUGUUCAAAGCGGGCUUACGCUUGAAUAUAUUAGCAUGGAAUAACACCAUAGGACUCCUGUCCUAUUUCGUUGGUCUCGGGACGGGAGUAAUGAUUAAGAGGAACAGUUGGGGGCAUUCGUAUUUCAUUGUCAGAGGUGAAAUUCUUGGAUUUAUGAAAGACGAACUUCUGCGAAAGCAUUUGCCAAGGAUGUUUUCAUUGA